UGGACAGAUUAUUGUAUUCGAGUGUAUUCAUGGAGUGAAACAGGGGAAUAAACUGUUUUUAAACGGAAAGUGAAUCAAUUAACAUAAUAAACUCCU
rnacentral:pre_miRNA from 1 species